GCAAAUUCUCGUUGGUCUUCACACGUUAAAAUGCUUGCCAGGCAACGUACUGGUUUGCUGCUAACGUAGUGAAGAUUGAACUAAACAGCUAUGAAAUCCUCUUUUAAGUUAAAUUCGCGAGUUUGGGUACUAGGUUCAGUUGAGUUGACCCAGGUAAUUGCCUAAAUAACUUGAUCCUCGUAUUGGGCACUCUCUCCCUGUAAAAAUACUCAAAUGAUGUAUUGCUGCUUUAUAUAUCCAAAGCAUGUCCAAAUGGCAGUUUGCAAAUUCGACAGUCACCUCCGGUUCACUUAAAUCAACUCCACCACAUUAUCAGUAGCUCUUCCCAAUUUCUGUUUUACAUUUUGGGAUGCAUAUCUUCAUUGGACUAUCCCCUCCUCUAUGUUUAUAAAGAGUUCAAAAUCAAUUAGUAAAAGAAACCACUCGCAAGCCACAAAACCAUUCUGCUUUCAACACAAGUAAAUAUAUCUGAUUGUUUAGGAAAACAAACAAGCAAAAUCUUAACCAGAAAAGAUUAAAAAGAGAUCAGAGGGGGGGAACAAUAGCCUCAGAUUAGCAUAUUGGCACAUUCAUCAACGCAAACAACAACCCGUGCAGAAGGAUCAACACGGUGCGCAUAAUUUGUUGCUGCAGCUCUGCCUCAUACGCUCUCAUCAUCAGCUUUUAUUAUGUUAAAUAAUUCACUCUGAAUUUCUAAAAUAGUUUAUAAGAUUGAAAAAAAAAAACAGAAGAAGAUUAAUUAAAAAAUCGGAUGAAAAUUUCAACUGCACAAAAAUCCAAACUCAGCCCAAUCCCAACUCUAAUUACCCGGCUAACGAACGACGGAUUCACAUUUUAAGCUUCGGCUGCGAUUAGCGUGGAGAGGAGAAAAUCAAAAGCGGCC
rnacentral:lncRNA from 1 species